rnacentral:rRNA from 1 species
GAUGAACGCUAGCGGCAGGCUUAACACAUGCAAGUCGAGGGGCAGCACGGGUAGCAAUAUCUGGUGGCGACCGGCGCAAGGGUGCGUAACGCGUGAGCAACAUGCCCGUAUCAGGGGGAUAAUCCAGGGAAACUUGGUCUAAUACCCCAUAGCAAUUAAAGGAGGCAUCUUUUUUAAUUUAAAGCUUUGGUGGAUACGGAUUGGCUCGCGUGACAUUAGCUAGAUGGUAAGGUAACGGCUUACCAUGGCUACGAUGUCUAGGGGUUCUGAGAGGAAGAUCCCCCACACUGGAACUGAGACACGGUCCAGACUCCUACGGGAGGCAGCAGUGAGGAAUAUUGGACAAUGGAUGGAAAUCUGAUCCAGCCAUGCCGCGUGCAGGAAGACGGCCCUAUGGGUUGUAAACUGCUUUUGAUGGGAGCAAUAAGGUCUAUGCGUAGACUGAUGAGAGUACCAUACGAAUAAGCAUCGGCUAACUCCGUG